UGAGGAAUAUUGGUCAAUGGACGCAAGUCUGAACCAGCCAAGUAGCGUGCAGGAUGACGGCCCUAUGGGUUGUAAACUGCUUUUAUAUGGGGAUAAAGUGGGGAACGUGUUCCCUUUUGCAGGUACCAUAUGAAUAAGGACCGGCUAAUUCCGUGCCAGCAGCCGCGGUAAUACGGAAGGUUCGGGCGUUAUCCGGAUUUAUUGGGUUUAAAGGGAGCGUAGGCCGUUUGGUAAGCGUGUUGUGAAAUGUAGACGCUCAACGUCUGAAUUGCAGCGCAUACUGGUUUCCUUGAGUACGCACAACGGUGGGGGAAUUCGUCGUGUGGCGGUGAAAUGCUUAGAUAUGACGAAGAACUCCGAUUGCGAAGGCAGCUGACGGGAGCGCAACUGACGCUUAAGCUCGAAGGUGCGGGUAUCAAACAGG
rnacentral:rRNA from 1 species